rnacentral:tRNA from 1 species
AAAACAUUAGUAAAAUAAAUAACAUCACCUUGUCAAGAUGAAGUUGUAGGUUAGAUUCCUGCAUGUUUUA